AAAACUGUGAUAUGAACUCAAAAACUGCAAUUGAUUAACCAUUAUUUAAACUGAAUAAAUACUGAAUAACUGAAUCCCUCACACACACCGAAAAAAACCCGCGCUUUUAUUUUGACACGCGCCCAUCCCCCCACAUCUCACGGUCGGAGUCAGUUUCACAGAGCAGCGCAGGAGGACGACAGACACAUACAGAACAUUAACAGUUUAGCACAAACGUUUCCCGCGCAAGUUUGGAUCUUUACCAUUGAGGGUGGCUGACUGUUCUCGACCAACCAUCUUUCACACGCAAAAACUUUAAAGAUAAGUAUGAACGUGCCCAGAGCAGUUUUCGAUCUUUACCAUUAAGGAGGCUGACUGACUAUCGUCUUCCACCUGUCAUUUACACAACAAAAACUAAAGAAAUGUUACUCCAUAUGGACCUAUUCAUUUACUCAUUAUGCUGUGAGUACACCACAGUUUUAUCAGGGAAAAAAUUUAUAUUUGUGUGUUUCUCACUGCUUGGCAAGGACAGAUGUGGCCCUGUUAAAAAUGUUUAAAUGUCGUUUGGUUUAAGGAACAGCACACUGAUUUUGUUUUAAAAUAUUCCUGUUUGGACAGUCUGUUAAAGCCAUAAAGGAAUACUUGAUAUAUUUCAUAAGUAACGUGUAAAUGUAAUAUUAGUUUUUAAUGUUGUGAAUUUGGACUGAACAGCACACUUCUGUUUUAUAUCUAAACCUUUUGUAAAAUAAAUGAUUGUUCAAUAAACUGUGUAUUUUAUCUUUUCUGUUAUCAUUUUUUAUACUAAUGUUUAAAAUGUACCUUUACG